rnacentral:rRNA from 1 species
CUGGGGCUUGAGGUCGCUGUCUAUCGCUUCUGGUGAUGACGGUGAUGCUCAGCUCUGCUUGCCGGUGACUGUUGCGGUGUUCUUCAGUGAGCGCUGUAGCAGCACGGCACGUUUACUUUGAAAAAAUUAGAGUGCUCAAAGCGUGCUUGUCGCUUGAAUAAUGUUGCAUGGAAUAAUGGAAUAGGACCUCGGUUCUAUUUUGUUGGUUUUCGGAGCUUGAGGUAAUGAUUAAGAGGGACGAACGGGGGCAUUCGUAUUGCGGUGUUAGAGGUGAAAUUC